AGCAGCCGCGGUAAUUCCAGCUCCAAUAGCGUAUAUUAAAGUUGUUGCAGUUAAAAAGCUCGUAGUUGAAUUUCGGGAUCAGUACGCCGGUCGUGCCUUCGGUAUGCACUGGUGUCACUGGUUUCUCCCUUCUGAAGAACCAUCAUGCCAUUAAGUUGGUGUGGCGGGGAAUCAGGACUGUUACUUUGAAAAAAUUAGAGUGUUUAAAGCAGGCUCGCGCUUGAAUACAUUAGCAUGGAAUAAUGAAAUAGGACGUUUGACCCUAUUUUGUUGGUUUCUAGGAUCGACGUAAUGAUUAAUAGGGAUAGUUGGGGGCAUUAGUAUUCAAUUGUCAGAGGUGAAAUUCUUGGAUUUAUUGAAGACUAACUACUGCGAAAGCAUUUGCCAAGGAUGUUUUCAUUAAUCAAGAACGAAAGUUAGGGGAUCGAAGACGAUCAGAUACCGUCGUAGUCUUAACCAUAAACUAUGCCGACUAGGGAUCGGAUGAUGUUAACUUUUUAAUGACUCAUUCGGCGCCUUA
rnacentral:misc_RNA from 1 species